rnacentral:snoRNA from 1 species
AAUGCCCCUUGAGGCGUUGCAGCCCAACCGUCAUUGUUGCAGCUGUGUCAUAAGGAGGCAGAGAGACACUGGUGGUAGUCUGCACUGAGACUCUGCAACACAGAGGACUUGGAGUGAUUCUCACCACCCACAGA